rnacentral:rRNA from 1 species
UACGUAGGUGGCAAGCGUUAAUCGGAAUUACUGGGCGUAAAGCGCACGUAGGCUGUUGUGUAAGUCAGGGGUGAAAUCCCACGGCUCAACCGUGGAACUGCCUUUGAUACUGCGCGACUUGAAUCCGGGAGAGGGUGGCGGAAUUCCAGGUGUAGGAGUGAAAUCCGUAGAUAUCUGGAGGAACAUCAGUGGCGAAGGCGGCCACCUGGACCGGUAUUGACGCUGAGGCUCGAAAGCGUGGGGAGCAAAC